ensembl:lncRNA
GGCCAAGCGGAGCCCGGCCCUGGCGGUGGCGGUGGCAGCAGCGCAGGACGCAGAGGAGGGUGAUGAGGGACCUAACACAAUUGUGAUCUGCAUGGUCAUCUUACUGAACAUUGGUCUGGCCAUCCUAUUUGUACAUUUUUUGACAUGAGGUCCCCCUCGGACAAGGCGUUGCUGCUCACUGAGACCAUGGACCUUGGUGGGGAUUUAAUCUCAGUCACCUGGAAACACCUAUGAGAAGGACUUGAGAUCCCAAGGUUGCACUGCAAACAUGAACCUUAAGCAAAAGUACCUGAAGAUCCCCUGUCCAGUCUCCCUGCUCCCAGGCUGUGGCUGGCCUCUGCAAUCUACCAAGAAAAAGGCCGAAUUUCUACAACUCAACCUCCUUCUCUUCUUUGUAUAAAAUGGCAGUUGCCUUAAAUUAUUCUCACCAAAGCCAUCAACUGCCCUGUCAUGCCAGGGAUGAGGAAUUUAUCUUUAGCUGUAGGAAAGUGAGUGAGAAGCUCUCAUCCACGCACUGUGUUUUGUAAUUCUCUUGGUUGACUUGAUGUUGGAGGUUUCCCAAAGAGUAUCAUCCACGGCCUGAAAACGCAACAAUGUGCAACAACCAAAAUGACUCCUGAGAGCUGUGCCACGGCUAGGGCUGGGCAGCGUCUCCCUCCAUGCUCGUAUGUUAUUCAAAGGGACAAGCAAAAAGUCUUUCCUUUCCCCAUCAUAUGGAGUCGUUUUCCACGUACGGAGGACUGAGAGGGGGAGCAUGUUGACACUGGGCUUGGUGAAGUGUGACCGGAGCCCUGUGAAUGCCUGCCGACGAGCCAUGGUCGGGGCUGCGGGGUGGGGUGUGAGGGGCUGGCUGGUGUGAGGCUGCUGGUGUGCCCAGGGGUGCUGCGGGUGCAGACAGUGCCCAUUUCAGGGCUGGGCACCAUCCAAACUCUCUCGUGCCGCCAGCAAUGCUGUGUGUGAAAGCAUCUUGCAGCGGGUGACUUCCCUCUGUAACGGGAAAGGAAAUCAAUGUGCUGAAUUUGCCCCUUUACCCCUUUUUUUUCUUUUUUCCCUAUGAAAAUGGUGCGAGUUACAAUUGAAAGGAGGUACUUACUGAACAAUACCCCUGUAUACCCACGGGUUCCUCCUCCUCCUCCUUGUAGUGCUGAGCUGUGAGGGGGCUCCAGUGCUGCUUUUUCACCGAAACAAAGCGGACAGCCUUUCCCAGCAGAGCGUGCAGGGUGGCUGUUGUGGGAGAGGUGAGGUUAUUCCUGAAAGGAGAAAGGUGCAGAGACCCGAGUGACUCCAGUGUGUUUGGGCAUUGCGCUCAAAACUAUGCAGCAGCCAGCCUUUCAGCAAGGGUAGAGCACAGAGGGGCAAUAGAGCUGUUGUUCUGUGUGCCAGGCUUAGAGGCCUGGACAGUUUGCAGCAAUUCUUCCCAAGGCUGCAAUAGAGAAGUGACCUUUGGAAGGAGAUGUUGCCACUGUGAUCUGCUCUGAUCCUUAGCAGUGUGAGCUUAGAAAGUCGGCACAGAUGAAGUUACAGUUUAGUGUGAGGCUGAGUGCUUGGACCUGUUUCUUCCUUCUUUUAAG